GAUGAACGCUGGCGGCGUGCCUAAUACAUGCAAGUCGAGCGAACAGACGAGGAGCUUGCUCCUCUGACGUUAGCGGCGGACGGGUGAGUAACACGUGGAUAACCUACCUAUAAGACUGGGAUAACUUCGGGAAACCGGAGCUAAUACCGGAUAAUAUAUUGAACCGCAUGGUUCAAUAGUGAAAGACGGUUUUGCUGUCACUUAUAGAUGGAUCCGCGCCGCAUUAUCUAGUUGGUAAGGUAACGGCUUACCAAGGCGACGAUGCGUAGCCGACCUGAGAGGGUGAGCGGCCACACUGGAACUGAGAGACGGUCCAGACACCUACGGGAGGCAGCAGUAGGGAAUCUUCCGCGAUGGGCGAAAGCCUGACGGAGCAACGCCGCGUGAGUGAUGAAGGGCUUCGGAUCGUAAAACUCUGUUAUUAGGGAAGAACAAAUGUGUAAGUAACUAUGCACGUCUUGACGGUACCUAAUCAGAAAGCCACGGCUAACUACGU
rnacentral:rRNA from 1 species